AUGACCAUUGGCUGUCUCCCUCCCCUCACGCACCCGCUCGCUGUCUCCUCUCCUCCGCACCCUCUCUGCUCCUCGUCGCUGCCGGUUUGUUACCCGCUCGCCGUUGGAGUUGCCAUGCCUCGGCGACCUCGGCUGCGCAUCCGCCGCCGCGUCACGGGCCCACGCGCCCGUCGCCGGAAGAGGAGGGAGAGGAGGGACGUGGGCGGCGGAGGUAGCGGCGUCACGCCUGCUGGGGACGUGUGGUGCACGUGCACCCCGGGGAUUCCCUUCGCCGCCGAGGCGUCGUCCGUGGACUGCGUUGUGGCGCGCCACCACACGGAGGCUCCGGGCCGCCGCGGGGACGGGGAGAGGCGACACCGGGAGAGGACCGCCGAGCAACGGGCGCGCAGGGUCACCAUGCGGGAGCACAUCGAGCUACUCGCGCUGGAGGACAGGAUUGGCUACGUAAGCACAGGGCUGCGCGAAGACGAGAUCGUCCGCGGCCUUAGGGUUGGCAAAAACCUGUCGUUCCACCGCAAGCAUUUCUCAAUAGAGACGAAGCGGAGCUGCAGCAUUUGCCAAGAAGAGUUUGAAGCGAGUGAGGAGGUAGGGAGGUUGAGCUGCGGCCACGGCUACCAUGUGCACUGCAUCAAGCAGUGGCUCUCCCGAAAGAACGCCUGCCCACUUUGCAAGACCGCCGUCUCAAAACCAUGA
rnacentral:rRNA from 1 species